UUGGCUGGGCUGGGCUGGGCUGUCUGCUCCAGAGAGCAGGGCUGGCCCCACCCCUCUGCUCCCUAGCCAGAGCUGUGAGGGCUAACUAACAAGGGAGUGGAGCAAGUCUGGCUGGGGAUGCAGCCCAAUCUAUGCAGGGGGGGGAAGUGCCCCCUACCCCCACCUCAGGCAAACCCCGAUGGGGUCUGGGGCCAGGGAGGAGGGAUUAAACACCCUGUCCCCUACUCAAACUUACUGCUGGCUGCAACUAUGAACUACAAAUCCCAGAAGCACCUGGAAGCAGGAAGAGGAAGUGAUGAGCAACCCUGCAGAGUCCUGGUGCUGUGGGUCUGGACUACAAAUCCCAGAGACCUCGGGGCAGCAGGAAGAGGAACUGAACACACAGCCAGACAGCUCUGGUCUAGUAUUUUCUGGCUUCUUGUCUGAGUUCCUGCAGGCAUGUUACUGCGUUACCUGAACCAAAGAUUUGAUGAUGAAGUCAGUGCUUUCAACACCAUUUUCUGAUGAGACCAGAUCCCUAGCUGGCUGUGUACAGACUUCCAUGGACCCAUGCCUCUUGAUACCAGCUAAAAGCUGGGCCUGUAUAAAUUUCAAAGAUCUGAAAUGCAUCACCAUUUGUUGAAAAUGGUCAUUUCUCUUUCCAUUCCCUGAUAAAAUACUAGAUAAGAACCUAAAAGCAAAA